rnacentral:lncRNA from 1 species
CAGCCCCACCCCAUGACUUCCAGAGAGAGAGGAAAGGCUGAAGGUUGAGUUGAUUACCAGUAGCUCACGAUAUAAUCAUUCAUGCCUACAUAACGCAGCUUUCAUAAGAACCCAAUAGGACAGGGUUCAAGGAGCCUCUAGAGAAUGCCACACCUAUAGAGGCAUGGAAGCUCUUUGCCACUUUCAUCUGACUAUUGAUCUAUAUCCUUCGUAAUGCCCUUAAUAAGAAAUGGGCAGAUUCUAGCAGUGUUUGUGAGAAAAACUGGUGGAUCCUGCAGAUUAACUAUGGACAGCCAAAUAUUGAGUAAAGUGAUGUCUACAACAGCAUCAGCUAUGCCUGAUAUGGUGUUAAUUCACAUUGUGAAGUUGUCUUUGUUUCAUGAACUACUUCUCCGUAAUAGCACGCAGCCAUCUUCAAGAGGUGAGAAUUUCACUUAGCGGCUUGAACAGAAGUGUUAUCUCAAGAUAAUAUAAUAUCUGGAGGCAUGUGGCUGCUACUGUUUGCUAUGUCAUUUCUAUAUUGCCUGACCUAAAGGAAAAGAAAAAAAGGGCCAAUGUCUUCAUUACAAGAUAGACUCCUGAGAAUGCUUAUUCCAGCAAAGAAGAAGAUCUUCCGAAAAAACAAGAUUAUAAGUCACAGUCUGUAAGAAAAGAAAAAGUAAAACAAGAUAGACUCCUGAGAACACUAAUUCCAGCAAAGAAGAAGAAGAUCUUCCUAAAAAACAAGGAUUACUCAAAGUUAUUGAGAAGAAAUACAGGUUCUGGUGGACAAUUUCCAGUCUGGUAUCUGCAUUUGGAGAGAUUCUACAGCACAUGCAUGAAUGAAUGAAGUAUCUGCUGAGGAGACUGGAAUGAGGAAGGAAUUCAUUAAGUCUGAUUGUCUCUGAACAGCAAAGUUCCUGAGAUUCCUGCACUAAGCCCCAGACGACUGAAACAAACCAA